AUUGAACGCUGGCGGCAGGCCUAACACAUGCAAGUCGAGCGGAUGACGGGAGCUUGCUCCUUGAUUCAGCGGCGGACGGGUGAGUAAUACCUAGGAAUCUGCCUGAUAGUGGGGGACAACGUUUCGAAAGGAACGCUAAUACCGCAUACGUCCUACGGGAGAAAGCAGGGGACCUUCGGGCCCUGCGCUAUCAGAUGAGCCUAGGUCGGAUUAGCUAGUUGGUGAGGUAAUGGCUCACCAAGGCGACGAUCCGUAACUGGUCUGAGAGGAUGAUCAGUCACACUGGAACUGAGACACGGUCCAGACUCCUACGGGAGGCAGCAGUGGGGAAUAUUGGACAAUGGGCGAAAGCCUGAUCCAGCCAUGCCGCGUGUGUGAAGAAGGUCUUCGGAUUGUAAAGCACUUUAAGUUGGGAGGAAGGGCAGUAAGCUAAUACCUUGCUGUUUUGACGUUACCGACAGAAUAAGCACCGGCUAACUCUGUGCCAGCAGCCGCAGUAA
rnacentral:rRNA from 1 species